UACAGAGGGUGCGAGCGUUAAUCGGAAUUACUGGGCGUAAAGGGUGCGUAGGCGGUUAUAUAAGUUAGAUGUGAAAUUCCUGGGCUUAACCUGGGGACUGCGUCUGAUACUGUAUAGCUAGAGUACUGUAGAGGAAGGUGGAAUUUCCGGUGUAGCGGUGAAAUGCGUAGAUAUCGGAAGGAACAUCGGUGGCGAAGGCGACCUUCUGGACAGAUACUGACGCUGAGGAGCGAAAGCGUGGGGAGCGAACAGG
rnacentral:rRNA from 1 species